rnacentral:rRNA from 1 species
AACGAACGCUGGCGGCGUGCUUAACACAUGCAAGUCGAACGGAUCAAGGGGCUUGCUCCUUGAUUAGUGGCGCACGGGUGAGUAACGCGUGGAUAAUCUGCCCGACGAUCUGGGAUAACAUCUCGAAAGGGGUGCUAAUACCGGAUAAGCCCACGGGGUCUUCGGAUCUUGCGGGAAAAGAGGGGGACCUUCGGGCCUCUUGUCGUCGGAUGAGUCCGCGUACCAUUAGCUAGUUGGCGGGGUAAAGGCCCACCAAGGCUACGAUGGUUAGCUGGUCUGAGAGGAUGAUCAGCCACACUGGAACUGAGACACGGUCCAGACUCCUACGGGAGGCAGCAGUGGGGAAUUUUGCGCAAUGGGGGAAACCCUGACGCAGCAACGCCGCGUGAGUGAUGAAGGCCUUCGGGUCGUAAAGCUCUGUCUAGAGGAAAGAAGUGUGGGGUGGCUAAUAUCCACUUCACUUGACGGUACCUCUGAAGGAAGCACCGGCUAACUCCGUGCCAGCAGCCGCGGUAAUACGGAGGGUGCGAGCGUUGUUCGGAUUUAUUGGGCGUAAAGCGCGUGUAGGCGGUUUCUUAAGUCUGAUGUGAAAGCCCCGGGCUCAACCUGGGAAGUGCAUUGGAUACUGGGAGACUUGAAUACGGGAGAGGGUAGUGGAAUUCCUAGUGUAGGAGUGAAAUCCGUAGAUAUUAGGAGGAACACCGGUGGCGAAGGCGGCUACCUGGACCGAUAUUGACGCUGAGACGCGAAAGCGUGGGUAGCAAACAGGAUUAGAUACCCUGGUAGUCCACGCCGUAAACGAUGAGAACUAGGUGUUGCGGGUAUUGACCCCUGCAGUGCCGCAGCUAACGCAUUAAGUUCUCCGCCUGGGAAGUACGGUCGCAAGACUA